UGGAUGUUUAUCAAAAACAUUUCUUUUAGUUGUUAUAAAAAGUAAAGCCUGCCCCCUGAAAAUUGAAGGGCCGCGGUAUUAUGACCGUGCUAAGGUAGCAUAAUCCUUAGUCUUUUAAUUAGGGAAUUGUAUGAAUGGUUAAACCCACAUUAUUUUUAUUCUUUAAAAGGUUUAAAUUUUAAUUUUAAGUGAAAAAGCUUAUUUUAGUUAAAAAGACGAUAAGACCCUUUAGAGCUUAAUAAAAAUUUAUUUUUUAUACUUUGGGGGAAGUAUAAAAAAUAAAUUUUUAUUUAGUUGGGGCAAUUUUAGAAUAAAAAAAACUUCUAUAAAAUUUUUAAUCUUUUUGUAAAAAAAAUUAAAAAGUUACCUAAGGGAUAACAGCGUAAUAAUGUUUGAGAGUUCAUAUCGACAAAAUUGUUUGCGACCUCGAUGUUGAAUUAAAAAUUCUUUUUAGGGCAGUAUUUAUAAAAGAUAGUCGUCGUGAGGGA
rnacentral:rRNA from 1 species